rnacentral:misc_RNA from 1 species
AAGUCGUAACAAGGUUUCCGUAGGUGAACCUGCGGAAGGAUCAUUACCAAAAACAAGCUCUUUGCUUGGGGCAACCCAGCAAAGUUCUAAACCCUCUGUGUACCAAACCAUACUGCUUCGGCAGCGGGGCUUGCCCGUAAGCCUGCCGAUGGCAAUCGCAAAACUCCUUUUGAACUUUGACCUCUGUCUGAUACAAAAUUUUGAAUAAAAUCAAAACUUUCAACAACGGAUCUCUUGGUUCUC